UCCUAGGCUUCCCACAGGCGUCACUCUGGCCGGUUAAUGUCAUGACCCAAGCCCCUCUCUGCGCCCUGUCUUUCUCUUAUUGGGGGUGUUUCCUGGUUGCUGAUUUAAUGGUGAUCCAAAAGCGGAAGGAUCCUGAAAUCGUGGGCACAGAACGAAGCGGUCCCAAUGGCUGUAAAAUCCCACCGCCCCGGAGAGGCAAUGAACAGCCCAGAUACAAAAAAGGAGGGCUGUGCUCAGCACCGUAAUAAUAUUUGGCCUUAGAACAUGGAAUAAUAGUGACCUAACAGCACGGGCAAUAUCCUGCAUUUGGAUGCAAGUAGCAGUCAGAAGCAGAUCCAGAGAAGGGAAAGAGACUGUGAUGGACGUUGUGUUAUGGGAACAUCCAGGGCCCCUGCUGUGCUUGGUGCUGUACGUCCCCACCGUGAAAGACCGUCCCUGUCCUCAACGAGCUCGCAGUCCAAGCAGACAGGAAGGACUAUUAUCCCUAUUGGACAGGGACUACUCAAGAUCAACAGUUACCUCUGCCACUUGUUUCAGAUCUCGAACUUCUAGGAACACAUGAAGACCAAGGAAAGUAACACAGACAGCCACAAGAAUAACAUCUCAUAUCCUCUAGCAAUUUUAUUAACGUUACCAACAAAGUUAUGACUAUCCAAGCACAGAUAAAUCCUACCUAUAUUCAUGCACAAUUUAUAGGUACGGUCAUACUCACCUCCUCCUGGAUGCUCUUAGGGUGUGACGGGUCUCUCGUGGAUUGAUGAGCAGUAGAGGGAUGGUUCCUGCUGGAGUUUUCCCGUAGGGAGCUCAGUUUUCCUAACCCUCUUUUAUAAUGGGAUUCAGACUAUACCUCGUACUCAGCACAUGUGCGUGAAAGUGUCAGGUACCCCGUUUUCCAGAGGUUGUAUAUGGUUCCUUUUAUUCUCAUUAGCAGGGACGCACGACCUGUAUCCUGUGGGAAGGCACUCGUUAGAAAAAUGAAAGUAUCUCUAAGGCAUCUUGUGAUCUAAAAUUAAUCUUAUGGUGAAUUUUUCGCAAUACCACCCAUUGGUCCGUCUUUCCCCCUAAUCUUGUGGCAUUGGGUUAUUCUUUGGUCACGAACGUCAAGCAUUUCUUAACUCUAAGGCCUAAUAUGGCUAAGCUAAAAUCUUACAGACCUCAGCCUGUAGGCCUUGCAUUUCAGCCCUCCUUACUUAGCUACGUAAUACAUACUUACCCCUUCUAACUACUGAUCAAUCUUAUACUUCUAUAAUCCUCGCAUCACACACUAAAUGAAUGAUAAAAUAAAGUAACUGGCCUCAGGAGGGAACAGAUCCAAUCUGAACCAGAUAAAAAGAAACACUUUUGCACACAACGCAGUUAGCCUGUGGGACUCAUUGCCACAGGGUAUUGCCAAGAGCGUAGCAGGAUGCAGAAAGGUUUGGGCAUUUAUACGGAUAAUGAGAGUAUCCAGGACUAGAACAGUGAGGGUUUAAAACAUAAGCAAGGGCCUGAUGCUCCUUGGCAGAGGGGUGUGAAGGGGCGUUGGUGUCAAAGAGUAUCAGGCCCCAAGAGGAUUUGAAUUCUCCAGCUCCAGAGCAUCAACUAAUCUCUUGCUAACAUGGCUUAGAAAGAAACUUUCCCCGGGGGUGGUAAUUCCACCGUUGCCCACUAGGGGAGUUUCUUGCAUCUCCCUCCGAAGCAGCUGGUCCCACGGGUUUCCAGAUGUGCCUCGUGAUUUCUGGGAGGCCGCCUUGAGACACCUGAAAGGGCCUGAUACUUCUGAGAUCCAGGCCCCCUUUAAGGUGUCUCCAGUUGGGGCACCCAAAAAUCAUUAGGCAGUUUCACGAAAUCUUGGCCCGGGAGCCUGGUCUCUACGGGCUGCUGGUCUGAGCUGAGGGUCUUUGAUGUUCCUCCUCCUGGGAAGAAAAGCAGCAGGAAACCAAGCGACUUGUCUUCACUCCCAAGGCCCUUCCCGGCCUCUCUCUCAUGCGUUAUCGAGAGGUCGCCGCCCAUCUCUGGCUGGCGCCAGCCUCCAUUGCCUACUGGUUACAUUUUCAAACAAGCCCCUUUUGUGC